AUUGAACGCUGGCGGCAUGCUUUACACAUGCAAGUCGAACGGUAACAGGCCGCAAGGUGCUGACGAGUGGCGAACGGGUGAGUAAUGCAUCGGAACGUGCCCAGUCGUGGGGGAUAACUACUCGAAAGAGUAGCUAAUACCGCAUACGAUCUAUGGAUGAAAGCGGGGGACCGUAAGGCCUCGCGCGAUUGGAGCGGCCGAUGUCAGAUUAGGUAGUUGGUGGGGUAAAGGCUCACCAAGCCAACGAUCUGUAGCUGGUCUGAGAGGACGACCAGCCACACUGGGACUGAGACACGGCCCAGACUCCUACGGGAGGCAGCAGUGGGGAAUUUUGGACAAUGGGCGCAAGCCUGAUCCAGCAAUGCCGCGUGCAGGAAGAAGGCCUUCUGGUUGUAAACUGCUUUUGUACGGAACGAAACGGCUCUGGUUAAUACCCGGGGCUAAUGACGGUACCGUAAGAAUAAGCACCGGCUAACUACGUG
rnacentral:rRNA from 1 species